UACAGAGGUCUCAAGCGUUGUUCGGAAUUACUGGGCGUAAAGGGUGCGCAGGCCGCGCGGGCAGUCAAAUGUGUAAUCCAGGGGCUCAACCCCUGAACUGCGCUUGAUACUUCCGCGCUCGAGCUUUGGAGAGGAGUCUGGAAUUCUCGGUGUAGCAGUGAAAUGCGUGGAUAUCGAGAAGAACACUUAGGGCGUAGGCAAGACUCUGGACAAAUGCUGACGCUCAUGCACGAAGGCUAGGGUAGCGAACAGG
rnacentral:rRNA from 1 species